rnacentral:ncRNA from 1 species
CUAAAAUAGUAUUACUCUGUUAUCCCUAGCGUAAUUCUUAUUGUAAAGGUUAUUGAUAACGAAUAAAAGUUACGCUAGGGAUAACAGAGUAAUACUAUUUUAGAGUAGAUAUUAAGAAUAGUGUUUGCUACCUCGAUGUCGACUCAAGAUUUCCUCUUGAUAGCAGAAGUUAAGAAGGGUUUGACUGUUCGUCAAUUAAAAUCUUACGUGAGUUGGGUUAAAUACGAUGUGAAUCAGUAUGGUUCCUAUCUACCAUAUUUAAUAUUAUCUAAUUAAAUCUUACCCCU